rnacentral:rRNA from 1 species
CGGAGAGGGAGCAUGAGAAACGGCUACCACAUCUAAGGAAGGCAGCAGGCGCGCAAAUUACCCAAUCCUGACACAGGGAGGUAGUGACAAGAAAUAACAAAGCAAGCACCAAUGGUGUUUUGCUAUUGGAAUGAGUAGAAUUUAAAUCUCUUUUCGACUAUCAAUUGGAGGGCAAGUCUGGUGCCAGCAGCCGCGGCAAUUCCAGCUCCAAUAGCGUAUAUUAAAGUUGUUGCGGUAAAAAAGCUCGUAGUUGGAUUUCUGUUGCGAAUGGCCGGUCUUCACUACGUGAAUGUAUCUGGCUCAAUCGUGGCAUCCUCAUAGGAAACGUUGCUGCGCUUCACUGCGUGGUGCGGUGCCUAUGACUUUUACUUUGAGGAAAUUAGAGUGUUCACGGCAGGCAAUCGCCCUGAAUAUGUUAGCAUGGAAUAAUAAUAUAGGAUCUUGGUUCUAUUUUGUUGGUUUCUAGAGCUAAGAUAAUGGUUAAUAGGAACAGUUGGGGGCAUUUGUAUUAACAUGUCAGAGGUGGAAUUCUUGGAUUAUGUUACGACAAACUACUGCGAAAGCAUUUGCCAAGGAUGUUUUCAUUGAUCAAGAACGAAAGUAAGGGGACCGAAGAUGAUUAGAUACCGUCGUAGUCUUUACCAUAAACUAUGUCAACUCGGGAUGUAGCGUCGUUCUUUUUAUGACUCGCUGCGCACCGUAUGAGAUAUCAAAGUUUUUGGAUUCCGGGGGGAGUAUGGUCGCAAGGCUGAAACUUAAAGGAAUUGACGGGAAGGGCCACACCAGGAGUGGAGCCUGCGGUUUAAUUUGACUCAACACGGGAAAACUCAUCAGGUCCAGACAUAGUGAGGAUGGACAGAUUGAUAGCUCUUUCUUGAUUCUAUGGGUGGUGGUGCAUGUCCGUUCUUAGUUGGUGGAGUGAUUUGUCUGCUUAAUUGCGUUAACGAACGAGACCUCAACAUAUUAAAUAGACCAUCCUAUCAUCGGAUAAGCUGCUGUCUUAUUAGAGGGACUUUGCCCGCUUCAGGGUAGGGAAGUUUGAGUCUAAAUCAGGUCUGUAAUGACAUUAGAUGUUCUGGGCUGCACGCGCGCUACACUGAUGCGAUCAACGAGUGUAAAACCUUGCCAGGCAUGGUUGGGUAAUCUUCUGAACUCGCAUCGUGAUGGGGAUAGAUUAUUGCAAUUUUUAAUCUUCAGCGAGGAAUUCAUAGUAAGUUGAAGUCAUCAGCUUCGAUUGAUUACGUCCCUUCCCUUUGUACACACCUCCCGUCGCUUGUUCCGAUUGAGUGUUUCGGUGAAUACUUUGGCCUGACACCUUUAUGGGUUCGCUCAUUUUGGCGUAGGAAAAUAGAGUUAACCUCAA